GCGAGACCUGGCUACGGAGCGAGUCCCGGACUGUGAGUCAGCUGAAGUCGUCCUUCGGUUAGAUACUUCUUUGGGGCUUUUCUCUUGGUCUCCUGAGAUACAGCAUGGACUUCACACAGGUCUCUCCUGCCAACUUAAAGCAACCUACAGAGCGGGUGUCUUCCUAACCACUCCCAGAGUGUCUGUGCCCUCUGCACCUAUCAACAUAUUUGGCAUAUGACCUGAACUACAAGGAAUGGUAGAGUAAAUAAAACACUUCUCUUUCAAAACUACCUCUUCUUGUCUUUUGUUUCUCUUCCUUGCUGAAUGCCUCUAACACUGGGCCCUUACUUUGUUGAUCAUUAAAUUUACGUACGUGUGUGUGUGUGUGUGUGUGUGUGUGUGUGAGA